rnacentral:rRNA from 1 species
GACGAACGCUGGCGGCGUGCCUAACACAUGCAAGUCGAACGGAAAGGCCCUGCUUUUGUGGGGUGCUCGAGUGCCGAACGGGUGAGUAACACGUGAGUAACCUGCCCUUGACUUUGGGAUAUCUUCAGGAAACUGGGGCUCUUACCGGAUAUGAGCUCUUGCUGCAUGGUGGGCGUUGGUAAGUUUCGGCGGUUGGGGAUGGAAUCGCGGCUUAUCAGCUUGUUGGUGGGGUAGUGGCUGACCAAGCCUUUGACGGGUAGCCGGCCUGAGAGGGGGACCGGCCACAUUGGGACUGAGAUACGGCCCAGACUCCUACGGGAGGCAGCAGUGGGGAAUAUUGCACAGUGGGCGGAAGCCUGAUGCAGCAACGCCGCGUGCGGGAUGACGGCCUUCGGGUUGUAAACCGCUUUCGCCUGUGACGAAGCGUGAGUGACGGUAAUGGGUAAAGAAGCACCGGCUAACUACGUG